AUGUAGAAUGAAGCCGGUGAAUUUGUGGACCUGUAUGUGCCACGGAAAUGCUCCGGGAGCAACCACAUCUUUGCUACCAAGGACCACGUGUCCUUUCAUAUGAAUGUGGCCGAGGUUGUCAGGGUCACAGGCUGGUUUAAUGGCCAUUUUAAAACCUAUGGCACUUGUGGGUUCACUCGCAGGAUGAGCAAGCCAGAUAAUUCUAUUCUCCAAUUGGCUAAGGCUGAUGGAAUUGUCUCAAAGAACU
rnacentral:lncRNA from 1 species